UGAUCCUGGCUCAGGAUGAACGCUGGCGGCGUGCCUAACACAUGCAAGUCGAGCGAGAAAUCUUGGAAUGAGACUUCGGUUAAGUGAAGAGAUGGAAAGCGGCGGACGGGUGAGUAACGCGUAGGCAACCUGCCUUAUGCAGAGGGAUAGCCAUUGGAAACGAUGAUUAAAACCUCAUAAUGCCAUUUUAUCACAUGGUGAGAUGGUCAAAGAUUUAUCGGCAUAAGAUGGG
rnacentral:rRNA from 1 species